rnacentral:rRNA from 1 species
UACGAAGGGGGCUAGCGUUGCUCGGAAUGACUGGGCGUAAAGGGCGCGUAGGCGGAUGACACAGUCAGAUGUGAAAUUCCCGGGCUUAACCUGGGGGCUGCAUUUGAUACGUGUUGUCUAGAGUGAGGAAGAGGGUUGUGGAAUUCCCAGUGUAGAGGUGAAAUGCGUAGAUAUCGGGAGGAACACCUGUGGCGAAAGCGGCGCACUGGACCAUAACUGACGCUGAUGCGCGAAAGCUAGGGGAGCAAACAGG